CUCCCUUCCUCCCUCCCUCCCUCCUCACUACACCACCCCCAGCGAAAUCCUGGCACCCAGAGAGCACUCUUUUCAGCCAGAGCCCAGAACCAGCCGUUGUCCCCUGGCAAAAGAGGCCCAGUGCUGGGCCCUGGGCAAGUGUCUCCAGACAUCCCUACCUUUCUUUAUUAGUCUUCUUUCCCAACAGAAGCUAUUUCCUUUUGCCACUAAAACUACGUUGCAUCCAAAAGUUUCUCACAAGCUUAGAAAAGAAAAAUGAAAAACUGACACCAUUAUACAGAAGAAUUCACAAAAGCUGCAGAACACCAGGGCAGAGAAGCAGCAGCGUCAGACACAGCUUUCCAAAUCAACCAGCCCCUGACUUGUCAUUUUGAAGAAACUGAGGUGCAGAGGAAUGAUUUGACUGAAGGAUGCCAAAGGAGCUGAGAGCAGCGUCUGCAGCAGCCUCUGGAUGCUUUGAGUUUGGAGUCCAUUUGCUCAGUUUGAAGGAGUUACAAUAGCUGACAAUGAACUACUGUUCAGUGAGCAUCAACUGUGUGCCAGAGCAAGUGCCAUCCAGACAUAAGCCAUCUUCCCAGAACCCCCCAUCAAAAUGUAAAAGAUAUGAAAGGAAGACAGGCAUAAAUUAAAAAUUCCCCAAAUAAUAUAAAAGAACAUAAACUGAAAGUAAAAGCCUCUAACUCCACUC
rnacentral:lncRNA from 1 species